UUUGGAGUAUAUUUACAUGAGCAAUUUGAUCCUUAUAAGAAAAUGAAUAUGGAGACAUUAGCAACCUUCUAAAGAAUAACGGGAGAUGCGCUUUCAGGUUUCAUUUAUGUUAAAAAAGGAAAGUGCAUACACGAUAAAAACCAAAAUAAGCAAAUAUCAACGCACGUGCUAUACAGAUGUGGAACGAAACUUAAGUAGAACAAAAUGGUAGAUACU
rnacentral:lncRNA from 1 species